GCGGGACGGAUAUAUUAGAAUAAAAAACAUCAUAUCAAGAUCAGAAGCAUGAUGAAUCAUUACGAAGACAUGGCCUUAAUUUCAAAUUAUACAGUAUCACAGUAUACACUAUGCAUGCAUCAUUAACGAUCGAGUACAAUGUAAACAUAUACUCCAUAUAUGAUCAUCAUAUCUCUUCGUUGAGAAAAGGUACAGAAAAGUCCAAUUUUCUACUUAUUGUACGUACGCCAUAUAUAUAUAUACACAACAUCUU
rnacentral:lncRNA from 1 species